rnacentral:rRNA from 1 species
UCAGGAUGAACGCUGGCGGCGUGCUUAACACAUGCAAGUCGAACGAUGGUCCGGUGCUUGCACCGGGGAUUAGUGGCGAACGGGUGAGUAACACGUGAGUAACCUGCCCUUGACUCUGGGAUAAGCCUGGGAAACUGGGUCUAAUACCGGAUAUGACUCCUCAUCGCAUGGUGGGGGGUGGAAAGCUUUUUUGUGGUUUUGGAUGGACUCGCGGCCUAUCAGCUUGUUGGUGAGGUAAUGGCUCACCAAGGCGACGACGGGUAGCCGGCCUGAGAGGGUGACCGGCCACACUGGGACUGAGACACGGCCCAGACUCCUACGGGAGGCAGCAGUGGGGAAUAUUGCACAAUGGGCGAAAGCCUGAUGCAGNGACGCCGCGUGAGGGAUGACGGCCUUCGGGUUGUAAACCUCUUUCAGUAGGGAAGAAGCGAAAGUGACGGUACC